rnacentral:lncRNA from 1 species
UAUGGCAAGUGUACAAAGAGAGUUCUGGAAGGUGACCCCUCAACCUUUCAUAUCUCUUCUGCAUGGAAAAUUACAACCUUUAAUUAUAACUCAAAUCAAUUUAUUUAAUAUAACAUUAUUUUGCUGUAAAAUUCAUGUGACACAAAAUAAAUAUUUACAGACUAAAAACAUCAUGAAAGUUUAAUUAUAUUAUCUCAGGAAAAUAUAACUCCAGAGCACAAUUUAAAAUCCAAAGUUUUCAAAAUAAAGAAUUUUGCAUGAGCUCUAACCUGUAGAACUGACCCUGUGAAGUCUUUUAGUUCAUGAAAAAGAAAAAUAUUUCACUUCCAUUUAGUCAAUAGAUUACUGACAGUAAAUUUGCUAAUGAUACCUUGAGCCCUAAAAUUAGAUUUCUUUAACUGUUAGAUGAACCAAUGGUUUCCAAAUCAUGCUGAAAGCUAGCAGCUACAGCUCCAAAUUGACCCCUGGCCUGGGAACCUCCAUAUUCUGUGGGUGAGGCCCUAAAAAGGAAAAAAAAAAAAACAAGAAAUAAAAUAAAUAAAUAGAUAAAUAAAUAACUCUAAAUGCAUAAAAACAGAAAGUAGAUUUGUGAUUGCUGGGGGCAGGGGUAGAGUGGGGAAAAAAUGGUUGAAAGUGAUCAAAGUGUUCAAACUUCUAGUCAUAAGAGGAAUAAGUUCUGGGGAUGUAAUGCAUAUCAUGAUGAAUAUAGUUAACUAUACUCUAUUGUAUACUUGAAAAUUGUUAACCAUAGAUCUUAAAAGUUCUCAUCAAACUCACAAAAUAAUGAUAGCUAUGUGAGGUGAUGGGUGUGUUAUAUAACCUUAUUGUGGUAGAAAUUUCACAUACAUAUAUAUAUAUCAAACUAUCACAUUGUAUACAUUAAACUUACACCAUAUGUCAAUUACAUCUCAAUAAAUAAAAUUAAAUAACGAAUGCUUAUAAAAAUUACUACUCUCAAGAAAUUUUUAAAACAGAAAGAUUUAUGUCAGAAAUUAUGUUCUUAAUCAAAUUAAUCAUGAUCUUUAAUGAAAAUAUAAGUAAAAUAUGGUAGAUCAAAAAGAGGUAAGGAUUCAGAACACUGACAAUUUCAGAAUUCAUUACUGAACUUAUUAGGGUUUAAGUAUGUAUACAUGAGUGUGUGUAUGUAUGAGUAAGUUAGGAAUUGAGAGCAGAAAAGGGAAUUUUGAAAUAGGAAAACAGAGAGAAAAAUAUUUCUUUACUUACUGGGUCAGUGAGUCUUUCUUGGGCCACAUUCUGUUAUUCUCUUAGUCCUUCUUAUCCAGGCAAUAAGGUAGGGCCAAUUAGAUAAUGAACUGUUUCAAAAUAUCUGUAUAGCAAAAAAUAUAUAUAUAUAUAUAGUGGUCAUCUGUUGCUACUCAGGAUCCAUUUCUUUUCUGAGAUCAGAACCAUUAGUUUUCUGGAAAACACUUGACCCAACCCUGAGUCCAAGCUUGUGUUUUGAAUGGGAGAUGACAUGUUAGUACUUUCUAGAUGUAUGAGAAAUAUAACUCUGGAAUGGCUCAUUACUGUGUUCCCGAACUUUAGAAUGUCAGUUUGCACCAAAGAAGAUAAGACCAACAUAAAGAGGAAAGCAAAGAUGAUGAUGGACCAGCUGUCCUGGGGAUUAGUUCUGCACUUUCUUGUAUUGGGUUAUAUAAGGUAUCCUAGUACCUUUCAAAUAACUUUCUUGCUGUAUUUUAAGCUUAUUCAAACAGGUUUCUUAUACUCUAAAGCAACAGCUCUGGUGGAUACAGUGUAAUAGUAGAAUGCAUGUUUUCAAUGGUCAGACAAACUUCACUGAAGCAAUAUAUAAUGGUCAGUAGAUGAUUGUUGUGGUCCACUUAGACAGGAGUGAUAGUCUAAACUAUGUGGUCAGAGAGAUGAACACCAAGUAAGUAGAUUUAUUGCUUUAAUAGGAAGAAAGCCAGAAUGGACUCUUUUAGGGACAAUAUUUUUCAAUAUGUAGCCCCUAGACACCUGCAUCCUAUUCACUUAGAGUGAUUGCUAAAGUCAACAUUCUUGGGCCCCAGCCUAGACCCAGGUCAUCAGAAUCUCUGGGGAGUGAAAGGAACUUUCUUAAACUAGCAUUCCAGAUGAUUCUAAUGUGGGUUAGAGGUUGAGAACCACUGCCUUGGAGGAAUGGUUGCCAUUACUAGGAUGCUAAUAUAAUGCAGUGUUUAGAGGUAAUACAUGCACAGUAAGGAUCCAAUUGUGCAGAGUGCAGAAAAAAACAUAGGAGAAAAAUCCAGACAGUGCUUUCCUAUGGUCAUUAUGUUAUAAUGACUAGAAAUGGAGAAAGAGCAGAUGAAAGCAUGGGACCUAAGAACUACAUAUCAGUAAUAAAGUAGAUUAAAAGUUUAAUAUAUACAUUAUAUAUAUAAAGAGAAAACACUGACUUGGUGUUCUUAUAUAGGAAAACAAAGACAAUCAAAUAUGAUUUCUGCAUUCCUUUGUUGCUGCUAUAUGAAUGUUUAUCCACUGCAAAUAGCCAACAUAUGCAUGAAAAAUUAAAAAUCCAUUCAAAGCAAUGAAUUAAUGGCCUAAUGUAAAACAACUAUCCCAAACUAUCUGUUCAAUUUCCCCUCAACUGUAUCAAACAAAUUUGCUACUGAAAUGGUGGUUUCAACUUCCAUUAAGACUGCCCAUCUGAUUUAAGUAAAUUUUUUCACCUUGAAAAUGAACUCAUAAUUUUAUGGCUUGUACUGUGUUGAAAGAUCUUAAAUCAGAGACCUUAAUCCAACCAAUUUUCACACACACACACACACACACACACACACACACAAAUGCCCCAAGUACAUUUCAAACUAGAUGAAUAAAAUAUCAAAUGAAGAAUCAUCAUGCAUAUGACCAUUUGCUCAAAUGAGUUCAUUUUUUUGUAUCUAGCCAGCAAGAAUCUAUUUCUACAAGAAAUGCAGGAGUUAAUGCCUCUGAGAAGAACAGCCACAAUCUAACCAUCUUGUCAAAUCCAUUCCCUGGAACCUCAGGGGUAGAGCCUUCCUACCAGCUUCAGGGAGGCCGCAUCAGCCUUUCCUUCCAUUCCUCAAUCUUCCAUUGUCAGACCGUGUUGGUAAUUGGUUUUUAAUUGGUUCAUUUACCCGAAUGAUUUAUACUGCCUCAGGUAGACAAGAUUUAAUGACACCCAUUACAGGGCUUUAGAUUAUUUCACAAAUAGAUAUGCUGUUGUCCUUCAAGAUUGAAGAUCCAUGCAUAUGAGUGUUAUCAUUCAUACAUCUCUGAUGUAGAAAAGUCCAGCGAGGCUAACAAGGAUAAAAAUCAGAGUUUAUCAACUGUGGACUAUGGACAAGGCAUUUUGCUAAGUUCUUUAUACACAUUAUCUGAUUUAACAGGCAUUUCCAUGAGAAGAGAAAUAAACAGAAAAAAGUGUCCAAAGAGUUGCAUUUGUUUCUGAACAGAAACUGCUUACAACUGUUUCUCCUUAACUUUCUGGAUGAUCACUUCCUUUGCUCAAAUUAGUGGCCCCACUUUGAGCAGUAAAUAAUGUACUCAGAAAAUCACUGAAGAAGUUAGAUAAGACAUCUAGCUUAAUUCUGGGUUCUGAUAAUAAUUGUGGGACUUUAAUCCAAUUAUUUAACAUUUGGGUUUAGACUGGCUCUCCGGAAUGCACUCUCAGUAGUCCUUAGAUAAUGUGGUUCACUGCAUAUGCCUAUUUCUCAUUUUGAUUGAUUAGCUACUUGAGGUACUGUCAAAUCUUCCUACAGUGUAACCUAUGCUUGUACUUCAGUGUUCUCUUAAAAUAUAAUUUCUGCCUAAUAAGAAAACCGUUUAAUGUCUAAAAAAGUUAUAAUUACUUUUCAUAUAUGUAUCAUCACAUAGGUGAAUUGAUAUGCAUUGGUAUUUAGAGAUUCUAAUGUUGUUUAUAUAAAACAAGAAAUUCAAGUGGACUCUUCUGAAUGAUAAAUUUGGAUAAAUUUAGAGAGGCACAUUUUAGGAUUGGGACUUUGUUCAAUUAUAGAUUUGCACAGAAAUCAUACAAAUAAUUUGGCAGGGCAUAACGUGUCUGGCUUUUACAAGAAAUAAUCUUUGGCAAACCUAGAUAUUUUGACAAGAAUAUUUUUUCUUACUUGGUUUAAAAAAAUGUUUAGUAUUUACUUUGUACUCAGAAUCAUUGACAGACUUUUGCUGAAUAUCCACUCCUUCAACACGCACAAUUUCUGAAAAUAAUGUUGCAUUUUUCUAAUUGUUUCUCACAGUAUCCCAAGUUUAGGGAAGCAGAUUUACAAGAUUUACUUCAAUUGUUAGAAAACUGUGGAUUAGUGCAAACGUAUUUAAAUGUGAUCAGACCUUCAUGUGUGCUCAUAUGUGCAUGCCUUGAUUCUUCAAAUAAAUUCAGUUCAGUUGUAUAUAACUGGAAAAAAACUUAAAAUGGAGCAGGCUGCUUACCUCAGAAUUUAUCUGUUCUAAGGAGGAGAAAAAUAGUCUUUUAAAGUGUCAGUUGUGGAGUUCCUAUUGUGGCUCAGCCAGUUAAGAACCCAAUUAGUAUCCAUGAGGAUGCAGAUUUGAGAUCCCUGGCUCAGUGGGUUAAGGAUCCGGCAUUGCCACAAGCUGUGGCAUAAGUUACAGAUGCGGCUAGGAUCUGGCGUUGCUGUGGCUGUAGUGUAGGCUGGCAGCUGUAGAUCUGAUUCAACACCUAACCUGGGAACUUCCAUAUGUCGCAGGUGUGACC